GGAUAUGAGGGUGAUCCGGCUGUGAAACCUCUCACCCUAUUGGUUGCCAGGGUUGAUUCGGCUGAUCUAGCUGGCUAGGUGGGCAUCCUCUUCCUCCUCCCUCACUGCUCCAUGUACGUCCCUCCUGAAGUUGUAUGCUUGGUCAAAGAGGACGAUAAUCUUCUCCAACAGAGGAGUACCAUUCUUCAGUCAAGGAUUACAAGUAGCUGUGCUCCCCUGCUAGAGCCUCAAAACAAGCUCUCAAAGAUCUAGCCCAGAAAUUCAUGAGGGCAUGGGUUAGGCCUUAUAACUCUUUAUAGGCCCCAUUAUCAUCGGCACUAUCCAUUGUUCCUUG
rnacentral:snRNA from 1 species